rnacentral:rRNA from 1 species
UACAGAGGUCCCAAGCGUUGUUCGGAUUCAUUGGGCGUAAAGGGUGCGUAGGCGGCGCGGUAAGUCGGGAUGUGAAAGUCUCGGGGCUUAACUCCGGAAACUGCAUUCGAUACUGCCGUGCUUGAGGACUGGAGAGGAGACUGGAAUUUACGGUGUAGCGGUGAAAUGCGCAGAUAUCAGGAGGAACACCGGUGGCGAAGGCGGGUCUCUGGGCCGAUACUGACGCUGAGGAGCGAAAGCGUGGGGAGCAAACAGG